GGUCAAUUGGUCUAGUGGUAUGAUUCCUGCUUCGGGCGCUGGUCUUUGGCGUUACUCCUCGGGUUAAAAGCUUGAAAUUGCAGGAGGCCCCGCGUUCGACUCGCGGAUUGACCC